rnacentral:rRNA from 1 species
CGCAUCUGUGCAUGCAGCAUAUCAAUAAGCGGAGGAAAAGAAACUAACGAGGAUUCCCCUAGUAACGGCGAGUGAAGCGGGAAGAGCUCAAAUUUGAAAUCUUAAAGGGUUUCCCUUUACGAAUUGUAGUUUAAAGAAGUGUUUUCUGUUGAGGUCUUGGUAAAAGUCCUUUGGAAUAGGACAUCAUAGAGGGUGAGAAUCCCGUAUUUGACCUUUACUUUCAACUUUGUGAUACACUUUCAAAGAGUCGGAUUGUUUGGGAAUGCAGUCCAAAAUGGGUGGUAAAUUUCAUCUAAAGCUAAAUAUUGGCGAGAGACCGAUAGCGAACAAGUACCGUGAGGGAAAGAUGAAAAGAACCUUGAAAAGAGAGUUAAACAGUACGUGAAAUUGUCAAAAGGGAAGCGUUUGACACCAGUGUUGUUUUUCUGAAAAUCAAUUAAAGAACUGUUUAUGCUAAGCUGUUUAGACUUUAUCAGCUAACUGUUUAGUUUUGAGCUUUUCUUUAAUGCACUUUUCAGUUAACAAGUCAACAUCAAUUUCUUUUGCUGUAAAAAAGCUUGAGGAAGGUGGCUUGAGAUUCGUCUUAAGUGUUUAUAGCCUCUUGCCUAUGCAGUCGGAGAGAUUGAGGUCUGCAGCGUAGAUCCUUCGGGGCUAAAUGCAUUUGUGCUAAGUUAUAGCAUUUUAUAGACAACUUGUUGACUAUGAUUUGUCUUGUAGCUUACUCGCUUAUGUUAUUUUACCUACGCUUAGGAUGUUGAACGCGCACAGAGUCUC